GGCAUAUAUCAACUCAUUCCAUGCAUCAGGAACCCCUGGAAGACACCAAUGGCUACAGUCUUGCCGCCUUGUGGAAAUUUUUCUCCCUGCAGUCAGAUUUUUGCCAUAGACUGAUGGAUGUCCAUCCUUUCUAAAAUUGGUCAACUUUGUCACAUUUAAUAGUUUCACUGGGAUCUGCAUUUCCCGGAUUACCUCCUCCACUAUCUUCAUUUUCAAAGGGUAGUUAUUGAGUAUGGCCCCUUUCAAUAUUGGUUCAGUCUCCCCAUUACAUGACCCUCCCGAGUCCCAAUCCCCACCUCUGAAAUGAGCAGAUGAAUAUCCUCGAUAGAAGAUCAACUGCUUCACAG
rnacentral:misc_RNA from 1 species